rnacentral:rRNA from 1 species
CACGUAGGGUGCGAGCGUUGUCCGGAAUUAUUGGGCGUAAAGAGCUCGUAGGCGGUGUGUCGCGUCGGCCGUGAAAACCUGCAGCUUAACUGUGGGCGUGCGGGCGAUACGGGCAGACUGGAGUACUGCAGGGGAGACUGGAAUUCCUGGUGUAGCGGUGGAAUGCGCAGAUAUCAGGAAGAACACCGACGGCGAAGGCAGCUCGCUGGGACGGUACUGACGCUGAGGCGCGAAAGCGUGGGGAGCGAACAGG